UACGGAGGGUGCGAACGUUAAUCGGAAUCACUGGGCGUAAAGCGCGCGUAGGCGGUUCGUUAAGUGGGAUGUGAAAUCCCCGGGCUUAACCUGGGAAUUGCAUUUCAAACUGGCCGACUAGAGUACGGUAGAGGGAGGUAGAAUUUCCUGUGUAGCGGUGAAAUGCGUAGAUAUAGGAAGGAAUACCAGUGGCGAAGGCGGCUCACUGGCCCGGUACUGACGCUGAGGCGCGAAAGCGUGGGGAGCAAACAGG
rnacentral:rRNA from 1 species